rnacentral:tRNA from 1 species
CAAAGUGUAGCUUAAUCUAAAGCAUCUCGCUUACACCGAAAUAAUAUCUGUUUAACCCAGAUCACUUUGA